rnacentral:rRNA from 1 species
GUGGGGAAUCUUCCGCAAUGGACGAAAGUCUGACGGAGCGACGCCGCGUGAGUGAAGAAGGCCUUCGGGUCGUAAAGCUCUGUCAUCAGGGACGAACGGCCGGUGGAGUGGAAAGCCACCGGAUUGACGGUACCUGAGAAGGAAGCCACGGCUAACUACGUGCCAGCAGCCGCGGUAAUACGUAGGUGGCAAGCGUUGUCCGGAAUUAUUGGGCGUAAAGCGCGCGCAGGUGGGAUCUUAAGUCCAUUUUGAAAGUUCGGAGCUCAACUCCGUGAUGGGAUGGAAACUGGGAUUCUUGAGUACCGGAGAGGAAAGCGGAAUUCCCCGUGUAGCGGUGAAAUGCGUAGAUAUGGGGAGGAACACCAGUGGCGAAGGCGGCUUUCUGGACGAAAACUGACGCUGAGGCGCGAAAGCCAGGGGAGCGAACGGGAUUAGAAACCCUGGUAGUCC